GGGAGAGUGUAAGAGCCUUGCAGACAGACUAAGAUUCAGAGGGACGCACGAGGCAAGAGGAAUGAGAGCAAGUCUGCAAGGGAAGGAGGGAGAGAGCAAGUCUUGGAAAGAGACAGAAAGAUGGAAGUGUGGAGGCGGGAAAGAGCGAGAGAAGCGAGGACAUAACAACCAUAGAAAAAUGUGUGUGUGUGUAUGUGUGUGUGUUUGCUUUAUUGCAGUGGCCCCACCUACCCCUCCAUCCUGUUAAGGAGGCACAGUCCUAAGGAGGAGGGGUAGGAUCCCCUCCCUCAGCCACCGACACACACACAUACUCUCUCUCCGGCUCAUACACACACACUGUGCUCCGUGAGGGAGCAGUCGCUGAAGAGCUCUGGAUAGACCAUGCAUGGUUCUGCAGGUGUCCCACCCUUCUCUCAUCACACUGAUGCUUUAUAAGUGUACGUUGAUGGGAGGGAGAAAUAAUAGACGAGAUCAGGGGAUGAAAGAGGACAAGCGACAAAGAUCCCAGGUCGGUCUCCAAACCAAGAUGUCGCAGUUAACAUGUGCUUGUUGGGGUCAAAGGCUGACGGCUGGUGAGUGGUGACCUGAGUGAGAGGCCUGGGUGACAUCUGACCUCUAACUGGGUGUGCAGCUGACUCCGGAGGAUACAGCUCAACAAUGGGAGGCACGUGCCUUGGCCUUGUCACCAUGGUAACGCAAGACCUUUUGGAACGGUAGGGGGGUAUGGUCAAAGCUUGGUCUUUAUCCUGAUCUGUGUUAACCAUCUGCUGCCAAUUGACUCUUAUAGAUAUAACACAUACCCACCACAGAACAGUGUGUGUGUGUGUGUGUGUGUGUGUAAGAGAUGGGACACAAGUGAGGAAUCUAUAGG